AAAGUCUGACGGAGCAACGCCGCGUGAACGAAGAAGGUCUUCGGAUUGUAAAGUUCUGUGAUUCGGGACGAAAGGGUUUGUGGUGAAUAAUCAUAGACAUUGACGGUACCGAAAAAGCAAGCCACGGGCUAACUACGUGCCAGCAGCCGCGGUAAUACGUAGGUGGCAAGCCGUUGUCCGGAAUUAUUGGGCGUAAAGCGCGCGCAGGCGGUUUCUUAAGUCCAUCUUAAAAGCGUGGGGCUCAACCCCAUGAGGGGAUGGAAACUGGGAAGCUGGAGUAUCGGAGAGGAAAGUGGAAUUCCUAGUGUAGCGGUGAAAUGCGUAGAGAUUAGGAAGAACACCGGUGGCGAAGGCGACUUUCUAGACGAAAACUGACGCUGAGGCGCGAAAGCGUGGGGAGCAAACAGGAUUAGAUACCCUGGUAGUCCACGCCGUAAACGAUGGAUACUAGGUGUAGGAGGUAUCGACCCCUCCUGUGCCGGAGUUAACGCAAUAAGUAUCCGCCUGGGAGUACGAUCGCAAGAUUAAACUCAAAGGAAUUGACGGGGCCCGCACAAGC
rnacentral:rRNA from 1 species